rnacentral:rRNA from 1 species
ACGGAGGAUCCGGGCGUUAUCCGGAAUUACUGGGUUUAAAGGGUGCGUAGGCGGGUUUUUAAGCCGGCGGUGAAAUCCUACGGCUCAACCGUUGGAAUGCCGUUGGGACUGGGGCUCUUGGGUAUGGUUGAGGCAGGUGGAAUGUGUGGUGUAGCGGUGAAAUGCAUAGAGAUCACGAGGAACGCCGGUGGCGAAGGCAGCUCGCCGGGCCGGUAUUGACGCUGAGGCACGAAAGCGUGGGGAUCGAACAG